AUUGAACGCUGGCGGCAGGCCUAACACAUGCAAGUCGAGCGGAUGAAGGGAGCUUGCUCCUGGAUUCAGCGGCGGACGGGUGAGUAAUGCCUAGGAAUCUGCCUGGUAGUGGGGGAUAACGUCCGGAAACGGGCGCUAAUACCGCAUACGUCCUGAGGGAGAUAGUGGGGGAUCUUCGGACCUCACGCUCUCAGAUGAGCCUAGUUCGGAUUAGCUAGUUGGUGGGGUAAAGGCCUACCAAGGCGACGAUCCGUAACUGGUCUGAGAGGAUGAUCAGUCACACUGGAACUGAGACACGGUCCAGACUCCUACGGGAGGCAGCAGUGGGGAAUAUUGGACAAUGGGCGAAAGCCUGAUACAGCCAUGCCGCGUGUGUGAAGAAGGUCUUCGGAUUGUAAAGCACUUUAAGCUGGGAGGAAGGGCAGUAAGUUAAUACCUUGCUGUUUUGACGUUACCAACAGAAUAAGCACCGGCUAACUACGUG
rnacentral:rRNA from 1 species